rnacentral:rRNA from 1 species
AUUGAACGCUGGCGGCAGGCCUAACACAUGCAAGUCGAACGAGUGGCGGACGGGUGAGUAAUGUCUGGGAAACUGCCCGAUGGGGGGGGAUAACUACUGGAAACGGUAGCUAAUACCGCAUACCAUCGGAUGUGCCCACAUGGGAUUAGCUCGUAGGUGGGGUAACGGCUCACCUAGGCGACGAUCCCUAGCUGGGAUGAGAGGAUGACCAGCCACACGGGAACUGAGACACGGUCCAGACUCUUACGGUAGGCAGCAGUGGUGAAUAUUGCACAAGGGGCGAAAGCCUGAUGCAGCCAUGCCGCGGGAAUUCAGAAGGCCUUCGGGUUGUAAAGUACUUUCAGCGAGGAGGCGUUACUCGCAGAAGAAGCACCGGCUAACUCCGUGCCAGCAGCCGCGGUAAUAC